GAUCCUGAACCAGGUGGGCCACACCAAAAUUCCUGAGCCACAGAAACUGGAAUUAACAAGAAUCCUGGCUGAGGUUGAGCAAAGGAAGACUAAGAGGUCCAAGGAGUUGAACCCAGAGAGGCAAUUUGGAAAUCAGACAAAGUGAAGCACAAAGCCAUGGAUGUUUAGAGAGAGUGAGCGGUAUGUGAGACACACUGAAAGGGUGACCCUGGCACUUCUAAGAAGGCAGCAGCACAAUGGAC